rnacentral:rRNA from 1 species
UACAGAGGGGGCAAGCGUUAUUCAGAAUUAUUGGGCGUAAAGGGCGCGUAGGCGGCUUGGCAAGUGGAUGGUGAAAUCCCUCGGCUUAACCGAGGAACUGCCGUCCAAACUGCUUUGCUUGAGACCGGGAGAGGUGAGUGGAAUUCCCAGUGUAGCGGUGAAAUGCGUAGAUAUUGGGAGGAACACCAGUGGCGAAGGCGGCUCACUGGACCGGUACUGACGCUGAUGCGCGAAAGCGUGGGGAGCAACGGG